rnacentral:rRNA from 1 species
UGAAUACGAGAUGCUACGGCGUCGAAGCAGUCUAUGUCAUACUUCCAAGAAAAGCUUGCACUGUCAUAAACAAAUAAUGCCUGUACCAUAACCGACACAGGUGGGUAGGUAGAGUAUACUAAGGGGCGCGAGAUAACUCUCUCUAAGGAACUCGGCAAAAUGACUCCGUAACUUCGGGAGAAGGAGUGCCUUAUUUAUAAGGUUGCAAUAACAAGAUCCAAGCAACUGUUUACCAAAAACACAGGUCUCCGCUAAGUCGUAAGACGAUGUAUGGGGGCUGACGCCUGCCCAGUGCCAGAAGGUUAAAGAAGUUGGUUAGCAUCCGCGAAGCUGAUAACUGAAGCCCUGGUGAACGGCGGCCGUAACCAUAACGGUCCUAAGGUAGCGAAAUUCCUUGUCGGGUAAGUUCCGACCCGCACGAAAGGCGUAAUGAUUUGGAUACUGUCUCGGAGAGGGGCUCGGUGAAAUAGACUUGUCUGUGAAGAUGCGGACUACCUGCACCAGGACAGAAAGACCCUAUGAAGCUUUACUGUAACCUGAAAUUGAAAUUGGACUUUACUUGCGCAGUAUAGGUGGGAGGCGUUGAGAAUAUUCUUGCGGGAUUAUUGGAGCCAUCAGUGAGAUACCACUCUUGUAAUGUUAGAUUUCUAACUUUGUAUCAUUAUCUGGUCAAAGAACAGUUUCAGGCGGGCAGUUUGACUGGGGCGGUCGCCUCCUAAACGGUAACGGAGGCGCACAAAGGUUUCCUCUGAACGGGUAGAAAUCGUAUCUAGAGUGUAAAGGCAUAAGGAAGCUUGACUGUGAGACCUACAAGUCGAGCAGGGACGAAAGUCGGUCUUAGUGAUCUGACGGUGCUGAGUGGAAAGGCCGUCACUCAACGGAUAAAAGUUACUCUAGGAUAACAGGCUGAUCUCCCCCAAGAGUUCACAUCGACGGGGAGGUUUGGCACCUCGAUGUCGGCUCAUCGCAUCCUGGGGCGGUAGUACGUCCCAAGGGUUGGGCUGUUCGCCCAUGAAAGCGGUACGCGAGCUGGGUUCAGAACGUCGUGAGACAGUUCGGUCCAUAUCCGGUGUAGGCGUUAGAAUAUUGAGAGGAGCCUUCUUUAGUACGAGAGGACCGAGAAGGACAUACCUCUGGUGUACCAGUUAUCGUGCCAACGGUAAACGCUGGGUAGCUAUGUGUGGAGUGGAUAACCGCUGAAAGCAUCUAAGUGGGAAGCCCACCUCAAGAUAAG